rnacentral:rRNA from 1 species
CCUACGGGGGGCUGCAGUGGGGAAUAUUGCACAAUGGGCGCAAGCCUGAUGCAGCGACGCCGCGUGAGCGAUGAAGGCCUUCGGGUCGUAAAGCUCUGUCCUAAGGGAAGAAUAAUGACGGUACCUUAGGAGGAAGCCCCGGCUAACUACGUGCCAGCAGCCGCGGUAAUACGUAGGGGGCGAGCGUUAUCCGGAAUCACUGGGCGUAAAGGGUGCGUAGGCGGCCCUGCAAGUCAGGAGUUAAAUCCCUCGGCUCAACCGAGGUCAGCUCUUGAAACUGUAGGGCUUGAGUGCAGGAGAGGAGAGCGGAAUUCCUAGUGUAGCGGUGAAAUGCGUAGAUAUUAGGAGGAACACCAGUGGCGAAGGCGGCUCUCUGGACUGCAACUGACGCUGAGGCACGAAAGCGUGGGGAGCGAACAGGAUUAGAUACCCUAGUAGUC